rnacentral:tRNA from 1 species
CUGGGUGUAGCGCAGUGAGGUAGCGCGUCUGCCUUGGGCGCAGGAAGUCGUCGGUUCGAAUCCGGCCGCCCAGACCA